rnacentral:rRNA from 1 species
UACGUAGGUGACAAGCGUUGUCCGGAUUUACUGGGCGUAAAGAGCGCGCAGGCGGUCGUUCAAGUCGAGUGUGAAAGCCCCGGCUCAACUGGGGAGGGUCAUUCGAUACUGAUCGACUCGAAGGCAGGAGAGGGAAGUGGAAUUCCCGGUGUAGUGGUGAAAUGCGUAGAGUAUCGGGAGGAACACCAGUGGCGAAGGCGAACUUCCUGGCCUGUUCUUGACGCUGAGGCUG